GAUCCUGGCUCAGGAUGAACGCUAGCGACAGGCUUAACACAUGCAAGUCGAGGGGCAGCGGGGAGUAGCAAUACUUCGCCGGCGACCGGCGCACGGGUGGGUAACACGUGUGCAACCAACCCCGUACCGGGAGAUAACCCGCGGAAACGUGGACUAACAUCCCAUGAUACUCGAGGGCCGCAUGGCUCUCGAUUUAAAAUUCCGGUGGUACGGGACGGGCACGCGCGACAUUAGGUAGUUGGCGGGGUAACGGCCCACCAAGCCGACG
rnacentral:rRNA from 1 species